AAAACAUCGCCUCCUGCAAAAAUCCAAGUAUAGGAGGUCCAGCCUGCCCAUUAGUUUAUCCGGAUCCGACUUCUGACCGUGCAACGCUAGCGCAAUCACUUGGCUUUUAAAUAAAGACCCGUAUGAAUUGCGAAACGAGGGCUUAACUGUCUCCCCUCUCUAAUCAGUGAAACUGAUUUACCCGUGCAGAAGCGGGUAUGCAACUACAAGACGAGAAGACCCUAUGGAGCUUAAGACAUAUAGUCAACUGUGUUUAAAACCCCAAAUAAAGGACUACAACAAGACAGCAACUGACUAAUGUCUUCGGUUGGGGCGACCGCGGGGGAAAACAAAUCCCCCAUGUGGAAUGGAACACCUUCCAAAACCAUGAGGUACACCUCUAAGUCACAGAACUUCUGACCAAAAGAUCCGGCAUCAAGCCGAUCAACGGACCAAGUUACCCUAGGGAUAACAGCGCAAUCCUCUCCAAGAGUCCAUAUCGACAAGAGGGUUUACGACCUCGAUGUUGGAUCAGGACAUCCUAAUGGUGCAGCCGCUAUUAAGGGUUCGUUUGUUCAACGAUUAAAGUCCUACGUGAUCUG
rnacentral:rRNA from 1 species